UACAGAGGUCGCAAGCGUUGUUCGGAUUCAUUGGGCGUAAAGGGUGCGUAGGCGGCGCGGUAAGUCGGGUGUGAAAUUUCGAGGCUUAACUUCGAAACUGCAUUCGAUACUGCCGUGCUUGAGGACUGGAGAGGAGAGUGGAAUUUACGGUGUAGCGGUGAAAUGCGUAGAUAUCGUAAGGAACACCAGUGGCGAAGGCGGGUCUCUGGACAGUUACUGACGCUGAGGCGCGAAAGCGAGGGGAGCAAACGGG
rnacentral:rRNA from 1 species